rnacentral:rRNA from 1 species
ACCGAAUGGAUUAAAGAGCUUGCUCUUAUGAAGUUAGCGGCGGACGGGUGAGUAACACGUGGGUAACCUGCCCAUAAGACUGGGAUAACUCCGGGAAACCGGGGCUAAUACCGGAUAACAUUUUGAACCGCAUGGUUCGAAAUUGAAAGGCGGCUUCGGCUGUCACUUAUGGAUGGACCCGCGUCGCAUUAGCUAGUUGGUGAGGUAACGGCUCACCAAGGCAACGAUGCGUAGCCGACCUGAGAGGGUGAUCGGCCACACUGGGACUGAGACACGGCCCAGACUCCUACGGGAGGCAGCAGUAGGGAAUCUUCCGCAAUGGACGAAAGUCUGACGGAGCAACGCCGCGUGAGUGAUGAAGGCUUUCGGGUCGUAAAACUCUGUUGUUAGGGAAGAACAAGUGCUAGUUGAAUAAGCUGGCACCUUGACGGUACCUAACCAGAAAGCCACGGCUAACUACGUGCCAGCAGCCGCGGUAAUACGUAGGUGGCAAGCGUUAUCCGGAAUUAUUGGGCGUAAAGCGCGCGCAGGUGGUUUCUUAAGUCUGAUGUGAAAGCCCACGGCUCAACCGUGGAGGGUCAUUGGAAACUGGGAGACUUGAGUGCAGAAGAGGAAAGUGGAAUUCCAUGUGUAGCGGUGAAAUGCGUAGAGAUAUGGAGGAACACCAGUGGCGAAGGCGACUUUCUGGUCUGUAACUGACACUGAGGCGCGAAAGCGUGGGGAGCAAACAGGAUUAUAUACCUUGGUAGUCCACGCCGUACACGAAGAGUGCUAGAUGUUAGAGAGCUGCCUCCCUUUAGUGCUGAAGUAAUGACCUUAGCUAAUCGCCCGGGGGGGGGGGCGGGGGGGUAGAAA